UACGGAGGGGCUAGCGUUGUUCGGAAUUACUGGGCGUAAAGCGCGCGUAGGCGGACCUGCAAGUCGGGGGUGAAAGCCCGAGGCUCAACCUCGGAACUGCCUUCGAUACUGCGGGUCUCGAGUCCGGGAGAGGUGAGUGGAAUUCCUAGUGUAGAGGUGAAAUUCGUAGAUAUUAGGAAGAACACCAGUGGCGAAGGCGGCUCACUGGCCCGGUACUGACGCUGAGGUGACGAAAGCGUGGGGAGCAAACAGG
rnacentral:rRNA from 1 species